GACGAACGCUGGCGGCGUGCUUAACACAUGCAAGUCGAACGAUGAACCCGGAGCUUGCUCCGGCGGAUUAGUGGCGAACGGGUGAGUAACACGUGAGUAACCUGCCCUUGACUCUGGGAUAACUGCUAGAAAUGGUAGCUAAUACCGGAUACGACCCUCGGCGGCAUCGCCAGGGGGUGGAAAGAAUAUCGGUCAAGGAUGGACUCGCGGCCUAUCAGCUAGUGGGUGAGGUAACGGCUAACCAAGGCGACGACGGGUAGCCGUCCGGAGAGGGUGAGCGGCCACACUGGGACUGAGACGCGGCGCAGACUCCUACGGGAGGCAGCAGUGGGGAAUUUUGGACAAUGGGGGCAACCCUGAUCCAGCAAUGCCGCGUGAGUGAAGAAGGCCUUCGGGUUGUAAAGCUCUUGUGUCAGGGAAGAAACAGCAGCUCUAACACAGUCUGCGAAUGACGGUACCUGAAGAAUAAGCACCGGCUAAC
rnacentral:rRNA from 1 species